rnacentral:rRNA from 1 species
GAACUGGGGGCACCCUGACCGCAAUGCCGCGUGAGUGAAGAAGGCCUUCGGGUUGUAAAGCUCUUUUGUCAGGGAAGAAACAGCAGCUCUAACACAGUCGUGAAUGACGGUACCUGAAGAAUAAGCACCGGCUAACUACGUGCCAGCAGCCGCGGUAAUACGUAGGGUGCAAGCGUUAAUCGGAAUUACUGGGCGUAAAGCGUGCGCAGGCGGUUAUACAAGACAGGCGUGAAAUCCCCGGGCUCAACCUGGGAAUUGCGUCUGUGACUGUAUAGCUAGAGUGUGUCAGAGGGGGGUAGAAUUCCACGUGUAGCAGUGAAAUGCGUAGAUAUGUGGAGGAAUACCAAUGGCGAAGGCAGCCCCCUGGGAUAACACUGACGCUCAUGCACGAAA